AUCAGCGUUGCUGAAAGCAGCUGUCCAGGUCUCUUGUCGCUUAAAUUCCACUUCUCCUUGGAGCGGGGAUGAAGUCUGAGAUCUCGAAUGUGGCCUCUGAGGCCCCAUAAGAUCAGGCCCUGCUUUGUGUCCUGAUGCCAAGGUCCUCAAUGCUGAGAGCCCUGAGCCCAAGACAAGGUGUGGUGCACACAGACCUUGCCUGGAUCUUUUCGAAACCAGUGGUGGAUGGCCAAGAUUCAUUUCCACUUAUUUCCCAUGCAAAAGGCAAAGUUGUCAGCUGUUUGGUGAAUAUGUCAGAGCUCUGGCCUAGAAGAAUCUCCUGGAACCCUGGCUGCCUGGAGAUAGUAAGAGGCACCAAAGGAAAAAUCAGGAAAAGCACAACCAGGAGUAAAUGAUCAUCUUCACCAGCCACACACAGCUUCCUGACCCAAAGCUCUCCCUUCCUUCACCUGGCUGAGGAGGGAAGGGCUUUCUUCACUCAACACUGAUCCAGGGAGGCUGUGAGUGCCAAAAGGACAAGCCACUUGCUGACUUUUGCCUGAGGGUGAGAGUAGCCAGAAUAAGAAGGGAUGUGGGGACAUUGUUAGAGGAAAAGAGUUAAACAGGCAGAAGUUCUGGAGGGGAGAAAGUGUAGAGAGGUGUUGGGGCGGGGGGUUCCCUACCAGUAGAGGGAAGGCCUCUGAGAUGACAUCUUGAAGGCUGGUUGAUGAUACCUUUCUCUGUGCUAUAAAUGGAGAUAAGACAGACCAAACACCCAACCAGUAGUGUAGGUUUGGAUGAAUGACUGUAGUCAUUAAAUAACAAUCUGUUUGAAAUUUCUGUGUGGAAGCCUGCAUGUGUGUGCAUGUGCUUUGGAAAGUGUGAAACAGACAGUCAUAACAUGCAGGGGAAGAGUGUCCACAUCCAUAGAGACAUCUUCAGAGAGUCUACAGCUAUGAGGAGACACAUGCACAGAUGCCUCCCAGUGCUGAGAUGCUCCCAUGGACCAAAGGUGUGGGACUUAUCACAGGGAUAACACUAUCAUAAACCAGCAUCGUGCCCUGGCCCCCACAGCCCCUGCAAUACAUCUCCUAUCUCCUGUCUCACUCCUCCACCUUUGUACAGGCUGCUUCUUCUGUCUUAAACGUUUUGCUAACCCCAUCGUGUCCUUCAAAGCUCAGAUUGGGGUUUCUUCUUACAGGAAGCCAUCUUUGGUCAUCACUUCCUUCCCUACCCCCAGGCCUAUCCCCCAGUGUCCUGAGCAUAGCUGACCACAUGGACUUCAAGUUAUCUAUUUCUCUUCCUCUUCUGCUAGACUGUCGACUUGAGUACAGGUAUAGUAGUCCCUCUAUCUGUGGUUUUGCUUUCCAUGGUUUCAGUUACCUGCAGUCAACCAUGGUCUGAAAAUACUAAGUGGAAAAUUCCAGAAAUAAGCAAUUCAUAAGCUUUAAAGUGCAUGCUGUUCUGACUCGGCUCACUGCAACCUCCACCUCCUGGGUUCCAGUGAUUCUUCUGUCUCAGCAUCCCAAGUAGCUGCAA
rnacentral:lncRNA from 1 species